UACGUAGGGCGCAAGCGUUGUCCGGAAUCAUUGGGCGUAAAGCGCGUGUAGGCGGUCCGGUAAGUCCGCUGUGAAAGUCGGGGGCUCAACCCUCGAAUGCCGGUGGAUACUGUCGGGCUAGAGUGCGGAAGAGGCGAGUGGAAUUCCUGGUGUAGCGGUGAAAUGCGCAGAUAUCAGGAGGAACACCAAUUGCGAAGGCAGCUCGCUGGGACGUAACUGACGCUGAGACGCGAAAGCGUGGGGAGCAAACAGG
rnacentral:rRNA from 1 species